rnacentral:rRNA from 1 species
GAUGAACGCUGGCGGCGUGCCUAAUACAUGCAAGUCGAGCGAACAGACGAGGAGCUUGCUCCUCUGACGUUAGCGGCGGACGGGUGAGUAACACGUGGAUAACCUACCCAUAAGACUGGCAUAACUUCGGGAAACCGGAGCUAAUACCGGAUAAUAUAUUGAACCGCAUGGUUCAUUAGUGAAAGACGGUUUUGCUGUCACUUAUAGAUGGAUCCGCGCCGCAUUAGCUAGUUGGUAAGGUAACGGCUUACCAAGGCAACGAUGCGUAGCCGACCUGAGAGGGUGAUCGGCCACACUGGAACUGAGACACGGUCCAGACUCCUACGGGAGGCAGCAGUAGGGAAUCUUCCGCAAUGGGCGAAAGCCUGACGGAGCAACGCCGCGUGAGUGAUGAAGGUCUUCGGAUCGUAAAACUCUGUUAUUAGGGAAGAACAAAUGUGUAAGUAACUAUGCACGUCUUGACGGUACCUAAUCAGAAAGCCACGGCUAACUACGUG